rnacentral:rRNA from 1 species
AUUGAACGCUGGCUGCAUGCCUUACACAUGCAAGUCGAACGGUAACAGGUCUUCGGAUGCUGACGAGUGGCGAACGGGUGAGUAAUACAUCGGAACGUGCCUAGUAGUGGGGGAUAACUACCCGAAAGAGUGGCUAAUACCGCAUGAGAUCUACGGAUGAAAGCAGGGGAUCGCAAGACCUUGUGCUACUAGAGCGGCCGAUGGCAGAUUAGGUAGUUGGUGGGAUAAAAGCUUACCAAGCCGACGAUCUGUAGCUGGUCUGAGAGGACGAUCAGCCACACUGGGACUGAGACACGGCCCAGACUCCUACGGGAGGCAGCGGUGGGGAAUUUUGGACAAUGGGCGAAAGCCUGAUCCAGCAAUGCCGCGUGCAGGAUGAAGGCCUUCGGGUUGUAAACUGCUUUUGUACGGAACGAAAAGCCCUGGGUUAAUACCCUGGGGUCAUGACGGUACCGUAAGAAUAAGCACCGGCUAACCUCGUGCCAGCCGCCGCGGUAA